rnacentral:misc_RNA from 1 species
UUUUCGAAAAUAGACCCGCCGUUAGCAGGAAGGCAAGAAAGCGAAAGCAUCUUUAAUUUUGGGAUUUAGGAUUUUAUAUUUGGUCUUGGAUUAUUGAUUAUGUGGCUUGAACUUGAGAUGGAAUAUCCGGCGAUUUUGUACGGUGGCAACUCGCCGUGUUCUGGACGAGGGUGACUGGCUUUAUUCGUCGGAGUGGUGGGG